CUACGGGGGGCUCCAGUCGAGAAACUUCUGCAAUGCACGAAAGUGUGACAGAGCAAGCCAGAGUGCCAAUCCGUAUUGGAGAGGCUUUUGUGUGAUGUAAAAAGUCAUACGAAUAAGGACCGGGCAAGACUGGUGCCAGCCGCCGCGGUAAUACCAGCGGUCCAAGUCGCAAUCAUGUUUAUUGGGUCUAAAACAUCCGUAGCUUGCCAUGCAAGUCUCUUGUGAAAUCUGGUCUCUUAAGGAUCAAAGAGCGAGAGAUACUACAUGGCUAGAGACCGGGAGGGGCAAAGAGUACGGUCGGUGUAUCGGUAAAAUGAGUUGAUCCCGUCUGGACUAACAAUAGCGAAGGCACUUUGCUAGAACGGAUCUGACAGUCAGGGAUGAAGGCUAGGGGCGCAAAACGGAUUAGAUACCCCCGUAGUC
rnacentral:rRNA from 1 species